rnacentral:rRNA from 1 species
AUUGAACGCUGGCGGCAGGCCUAACACAUGCAAGUCGAGCGAGCGGCGGACGGGUGAGUAAUGUCUGGGAAACUGCCUGAUGGAGGGGGAUAACUACUGGAAACGGUAGCGAAUACCGCAUACAAUCCGAUGUGCGCAGAUGGGAUUAGCUAGUCGGUGGGGUAACGGCCCACCUAGGCGAGGAUCCCUAGCUGGCCUGAGAGGAUGACCAGCCACACUGGAACUGAGACACGGUCCAGACUCCUACGGGAGGCAGCAGUGGGGAAUAUUGCACAAUGGGCGCAAGCCUGAUGCAGCCAUGCCGCGUGUGUGAAGAAGGCUUUCGGGUUGUAAAGCACUUUCAGUAGAGAGGCGUUACCUGCAGAGGAAGCACCGGCUAACUCCGUGCCAGCAGCCGCGGUAAUAC